rnacentral:misc_RNA from 1 species
GGUAAAACAAUAAUAUUUGACAGAUCGCAAGCUGAGAGAGAGGCUCUGCACUUUGCAGUCUGCAGCAGCUAGGGAUUCCAUUUGCAUUUGUUGUAAUUAUUAGUGAACCUUGGAUUGAUGUGGGCAAGAAGGAGACGUCAAGGGACGGAUCCCCUGACCUGCCUACUCUUGGAGACGCUUCCUCCGUUAUUCAGCGUGUGCCUCAUUACAUCUCUCUCCUGGGCCUCCUACUCUUUGACUCCUCCCGAAUAUGUUCCACUCAUUCUCCUCUUCCAAAUACAAAUCAUCGCGCAGUGUAUCCAGUUCCAUCGAUACGCCUCCAUUGUUCCCACGAGUGCAAAGAACUUUCCGGGCUACGUGCAUCGCUACCCAUCCCUAACAGGACGCAAAGAAGAGACACAAACCACCAAGUGGGAGGAAUGCGAAUCAUGUGACAUGCAUGUUCCUAUAAGCUCCAGACACUGCUCUCAUUGUCGUAAAUGCAUUCGACUCAAGGAUCAUCAUUGUUAUUUUCUUGGUGCUUGUGUAGGAAGUCAUAACAAACGAUUUUUUCUCGCAUUUGUUCUCUAUGCAGCCCUUGGCUCCCUCUUUGCAACACUUGCUAUACUCAAUGAAAUGAGUAUGAAUCGGAAUCUUUUUUCUUGGGAUGGAUUUUCCCUCUUUCUCCCUGUUAACAUUGCCAUGUAUUUCUAUGGUCAAUCUAGUAGAAUUGAGAUAUUCUAUGUUAGUCUUCUUAACUUUGGGAUUGGAGCUUUUCUCUUCACUACGUUUAUGCUCUUUGUGGGAGUCUAUGGAAUGAUUAUGGGUAUAAACUUCUUUCGCCGCAAUAAAAAAAGAGAAAAUAAAAUCCUUCAAGAAGAAGAUCCGCUUGAAAUCAAAAAUACUUAUUCAGAUGUCUUUGGGUCCUGUGGAUGGAUCGUAUUUUUAAUCCCAUUUACUCCCUUUUCAUUGCCCCCUAUAGAGCCUGGAUAUCGACGGAUCAUUACAUAUAAUAAUGAUUUCGUUUUGAAUGGAGUCGUGACUCACUGUGACACUCCUCCUCAUAGUUAACUCGUACUCUAAUUUAUUUUUUUAAAUCAUUUUACCUAAUUGCAAUUAUUUCUAGUCAUUUCAUAUAUGGGAUUAUUCAUUUAUUGUCUCCCCUAGUUAUAGCUCUUUACUAGUCGAAUAUACUCUAGUAUUUUCAUUUUAAUAGAAUUUCUCGUUUACUCGUUGUUUUAUCCUCCCCCCGCCGCUUUGAAUGCCCACUUGUACAAAUCUUCAUUAUAUUUAUUUGUCAUUAAACAUUAUUGUCAAAUCUAUUGUUAAAUAAACUUUUUCUCAUGUUUUUUUUUUUUUUCCUUCAAAAAUCUAGUCAUUCCCUUUCAAUUUUUAUUUAUCUUACAUUCCAGAUGAGACCUGAUAAAAAGAAAACCCGACAUCAUGACUCUCAAAAAAGCAAGAAAAAAGCAUUAGAAAAAGCUGAAAAAGCAUCGAACAAUAAUAAAGCAACUCCUCCACAGAAAUCUAAGAGGGACUUACCGCCUCCACAACCUGAGCCUCCUAAAAUCACCAGCAAUUGGACGAAGCUGGAAAUACCCUCUGAUGAUGAAAAUGAUUACGAGGAUGAAGAUUGGGGUAUGACGGGUCCUAAGUUUGACUUUGUUAUGGAAAGUGCAGAUAAGUCGCAUAGUCAUUUUCGAACCAAAUCCGAAAAACUGUGGGAGGAAGAGCAUGCCAAUUUUACGUCAGAGUUUUUUGAUUUGGAUAUUGAGAGACUCGAUAAAGCACUGUCUUGUGUUCCUUUAAAUGAAAUACUUGAUAUAGACCCUUCGGAAAUAUCCGAAAAAUAUGUGCUUGAAUUUAAAAAGGCUGCCGAAGAUCGCCUUAAAUCCUAUGAAGAAACCUAUAUGGCUGAAAAAAGAGAUGAUGAGGACUAUAUGAAAGGAUUAUCGAUGGGAAUGGAUGAAAAAUCAAUGCUAGACAAGCUAUGCACAAUUACUUUAGAUGAAGCCUCAUCAUCCGUAACUAAACCGCCUAACUUGAAGGGAAGUCCGUUUAAUCAUGUCAUAGACGAGAAAAAAGAUACUCAAGAAUUAGAAGAAUGGUUGGAUGACUUUUUAGCAGACUAAAAUAUUGAAUAUUUCUCAUCACUCAAAUUACAAACUGAUAUCAUUUACUUUUUUGUAGUUAUUGUUCGUUCUUCCAGUAUUUCAAUUAUUCUAUUUAUUCAGAAUAUACGAUAUUUUAUAA